UACGUAGGGUCCGAGCGUUGUCCGGAAUUACUGGGCGUAAAGAGCUCGUAGGUGGUUUGUCGCGUCGGCCGUGAAAACUUGGGGCUUAACCCCAAGCCUGCGGUCGAUACGGGCAGACUUGAGUUCGGCAGGGGAGACUGGAAUUCCUGGUGUAGCGGUGAAAUGCGCAGAUAUCAGGAGGAACACCGGUGGCGAAGGCGGGUCUCUGGGCAGUAACCGAUCGCUGAGGAGCGAAAGCGUGGGGAGCGAACAGG
rnacentral:rRNA from 1 species